rnacentral:rRNA from 1 species
UCGGGAAUUUUGGGCAAUGGGGGAAACCCUGACCCAGCAACGCCGCGUGUGUGAAGAAGGCCUUCGGGUUGUAAAGCACUUUUAUCAGGAACGAAAAGCGUGGGGUUAAUACCUUUACGUGCUGACGGUACCUGAGGAAUAAGCACCGGCUAACUUCGUGCCAGCAGCCGCGGUAAUACGAAGGGUGCAAGCGUUAAUCGGAAUUACUGGGCGUAAAGCGUGCGUAGAUGGUUUGUUAAGUCGGAUGUGAAAGCCCCGGGCUCAACCUGGGAACUGCAUCCGAUACUGGCAGACUAGAGUGUGGUAGAGGAUGGCGGAAUUCCCGGUGUAGCGGUGAAAUGCGUAGAGAUCGGGAGGAACAUCCGUGGCGAAGGCGGCCAUCUGGACCAACACUGACGUUGAGGCACGAAAGCGUGGGGAGCAAACAGGAUUAGAUACCCUGGUAGUCCCUGAGCGGGCUGGCAAGGCGCAU